UACAGAGGGCUCAAGCGUUGUUCGGAUUCAUUGGGCGUAAAGGGUUCGUAGGCGGCGCGGUAAGUCGGGUGUGAAAUCUUGGAGCUUAACUCCGAAACUGCAUUCGAUACUGCCGUGCUUGAGGACUGGAGAGGAGACUGGAAUUUACGGUGUAGCGGUGAAAUGCGUUGAGAUCGGAAGGAACGCCCGUGGCGAAAGCGAGGUCCUGGACGUCUGCUGACGCUGAGACGCGAAAGCCAGGGGAGCAAACGGG
rnacentral:rRNA from 1 species